rnacentral:lncRNA from 1 species
GCGACUCAAAACCCGUGGNNNNNNNNNNNNNNNNNNNNNNNNNCUUAGACCUCAAUAUGGGGGUCCUAUGUCCUCCUUGUUGGGCAUUAGUAGGAUCUGGGCCUCAUUUCCCCUCCAUUUUGGGGCCAUUCCCCUCCAUUUUGGGGCCAUUUCCCCUCCAUUUUGAUGCCAUCUCCCCCCAUUUUGAUGCCAUCUCCCCCCACCCUUUCUAACUUGCCCAAUUUCCCCUCAUUUCACCCCAAUUUCUCUCCCCAGUUGGCGGCCAACGCCGCGGUUACGACAACCGUAUCUACGGGCAGCAGCAGUAUUGGGGCCAGCCUGGAAACCGCGGGGGUUACCGUAAUUUCUACGACCGUUACCGGGGAGAUUACGAGCGAUUCUAUGGCCGCGAUUAUGAAUACAACAGAUACCGGGAUUACUACAGGCAGUACAACCGGGAGUGGCAAAACUACUACCAGGACAGAGAUCGAUACUACAGGAACUACUACGGCUAUCAGGGCUAUCGGUGAAGUCCCAAAAUCGGCCGUUUUUGACCCAAAAUGGAACCCCGAAAUAAUCCUAAAAAUUAAGAGGAAAAAAAAAAAAAACCACAAAAAUGAAAAAACCCAAAAAAAACAAAAAAAAAGACAAAAAAAAAGAGAUAAAAAAGGGGGAUUUUGGGGUCGGGGG